CUCUCCCUCUCUCUCCAGUGGGUAGGCCUCUUCCAGUGGUCCAGACCCCCUCUCAUCUCUCUCUCUCUCUCUCUCCAGUGGGUAGGCCUCUUCCAGUGGUCCAGACCCCCUCUCAUCUCUCUCUCUCUCUCUCUCCAGUGGGUAGGCCUCUUCCAGUGGUCCAGACCCCCUCUCAUCUCUCCCUCUCUCUCCAGUGGGUAGGCCUCUUCCAGUGGUCCAGACCCCCUCUCAUCUCUCUCUCUCUCUCCAGUGGGUAGGCCUAUUCCAGUGAUCCAGACCCCCUCUCAUCUCUCUCUCUCUCUCCAGUGGGUAGGCCUAUUCCAGUGAUCCAGACCCCCUCUCAUCUCUCUCUCUCUCUCUCCAGUGGGUAGGUCUAUUCCAGUGGUCCAGACCCCCUCUCAUCUCUCUCUCUCUCUCUCUCUCUCUCUCUCUCUCCAAUGGGUAGGCCUAUUCCAGUGGUCCAGACCCCCUCUCCCACUAAGGAUGAUAUAGAUGGUCUCCAUUCUCUCUACCUGGAGGGCCUCACUACGGUGUUUGAAGACAACAAGGACAGCUACGGCAUUGCACCAGACAAACACCUCCACUUCAUCUAGAGAUGUGCAUCUAGAGAUGUCCACAGCUGUAAUCAGCAGGAAAAGAACCAGACAGAUCCAAAGAUGCUGCAACACCUUCUAGGUCAGAGUUCUAGCUGAAGGUUAGGGUUCUGUAGGUUCCUGUAGAGUUAUGUUGGGUUCUGUGGAGUUAUGUAGGGUUCUAGAGGGUCCUGUCUGGUUCUGUGGGGUCCUGUCUGGUUCUGUGGGGUCCUGUCUGGUUCUGUGGGGUCCUGUCUGGUUCUGUGGGGUCCUGUAGGGUUCUGUGGGGUCCUGUCUGGUUCUGUGGGGUCCUGUCUGGUUCUGUGGGGUCCUGUCUGGUUAUGUGGGGUCCUGUCUGGUUCUGUGAGGUCCUGUCUGGUUAUGUGGGGUCAUGUAGGGUUAUGUGGGGUCCUGUAGGGUUAGUUAGUACCAAGAUGGCGGAGCAGUAAGACGUGUUUGUUUUUGUCCCAUGUAAAUAUUAUUAUUAUAUUUGUUGUUGUAUACAUUUCAUUACAUUUCAUUCUCUUUUUUUCCAUUUUCUAAUUAAAUAAACGUCCUGCAACCCGCCUCA